rnacentral:rRNA from 1 species
GACGAACGCUGGCGGCGUGCUUAACACAUGCAAGUCGAACGGAAAGGCCCUGCUUUUGUGGGGUGCUCGAGUGGCGAACGGGUGUGUAACACGUGUGUAACCUGCCCUUGACUUUGGGAUAACUUCAGGAAACUGGGGCUAAUACCGGAUAGGAGCUCCUGCUGCAUGGUGGGGGUUGGAAAGUUUCGGCGGUUGGGGAUGGACUCGCGGCUUAUCAGCUUGUUGGUGGGGUAGUGGCUUACCAAGGCUUUGACGGGUAGCCGGCCUGAGAGGGUGACCGGCCACAUUGGGACUGAGAUACGGCCCAGACUCCUACGGGAGGCAGCAGUGGGGAAUAUUGCACGAUGGGCGGAAGCCUGAUGCAGCAACGCCGCGUGCGGGAUGACGGCCUUCGGGUUGUAAACCGCUUUCGCCUGUGACGAAGCGUGAGUGACGGUAAUGGGUAAAGAAGCACCGGCUAACUACGUG